rnacentral:rRNA from 1 species
UGGAGGCAGCAGUGAGGAAUAUUGGACAAUGGGCGCAAGCCUGAUCCAGCCAUGCCGCGUGGAUGAUGAAGGCCCUAGGGUUGUAAAGUCCUUUCGGCGGGGAAGAUAAUGACGGUACCCGCAGAAGAAGCCCCGGCUAACUUCGUGCCAGCAGCCGCGGUAAUACGAAGGGGGCUAGCGUUGCUCGGAAUCACUGGGCGUAAAGCGCACGUAGGCGGCUUUUUAAGUCAGGGGUGAAAUCCUGGAGCUCAACUCCAGAACUGCCUUUGAUACUGAGAAGCUUGAGUCCGGGAGAGGUGAGUGGAACUGCGAGUGUAGAGGUGAAAUUCGUAGAUAUUCGCAAGAACAUCAGUGGCGAAGGCGGCUCACUGGCCCGGUACUGACGCUGAGGUGCGAAAGCGUGGGGAGCAAACAGGAUUAGAUACCCUAGUAGUCC